rnacentral:rRNA from 1 species
AAUAGAUACCCUGGUAGUCCACGCCGUAAACGAUGGAUGCUAGCCGUUGGCGAGCUUGCUCGUCAGUGGCGCAGCUAACGCAUUAAGCAUCCCGCCUGGGGAGUACGGUCGCAAGAUUAAAACUCAAAGGAAUUGACGGGGGGCCCGCACAAGCGGUGGAGCAUGUGGUUCAAUUCGAAGCAACGCGCAGAACCUUACCAACCCUUGACAUGUCCAGUAUGGGUUUCAGAGAUGAGACUCUUCAGUUCGGCUGGCUGGAACACAGGUGCUGCAUGGCUGUCGUCAGCUCGUGUCGUGAGAUGUUGGGUUAAGUCCCGCAACGAGCGCAACCCUCGCCCUUAGUUGCCAUCAUUUAGUUGGGCACUCUAGGGGGACUGCCGGUGAUAAGCCGCGAGGAAGGUGGGGAUGACGUCAAGUCCUCAUGGCCCUUACGGGUUGGGCUACACACGUGCUACAAUGGCGGUGACAAUGGGAUGCAAGGGGUGACCUGUGCAAAUCUCAAAAAACCGU